UACGUAGGGGGCUAGCGUUGUCCGGAUUUAUUGGGCGUAAAGAGCGUGUAGGCGGCCAUGUAGGUCCGGUGUGAAAACUCGAGGCUUAACCUCGAGAUGUCAUCGGAAACCAUUUGGCUAGAGUCCGGAAGAGGAGAGUGGAAUUCCUGGUGUAGCGGUGAAAUGCGCAGAUAUCUGGAGGAACACCGGUGGCGAAGGCGGCGUUCUGGACUGCUACUGACACUGAGGAACGAAAGCAAGGGGAGCAAACGGG
rnacentral:rRNA from 1 species